rnacentral:rRNA from 1 species
UGGGGAAUUUUGGACAAUGGGCGAAAGCCUGAUCCAGCAAUGCCGCGUGUGUGAAGAAGGCCUUCGGGUUGUAAAGCACUUUUGUCCGGAAAGAAAUCCUUGGCUCUAAUACAGUCGGGGGAUGACGGUACCGGAAGAAUAAGCACCGGCUAACUACGUGCCAGCAGCCGCGGUAAUACGUAGGGUGCAAGCGUUAAUCGGAAUUACUGGGCGUAAAGCGUGCGCAGGCGGUUUGCUAAGACCGAUGUGAAAUCCCCGGGCUCAACCUGGGAACUGCAUUGGUGACUGGCAGGCUAGAGUAUGGCAGAGGGGGGUAGAAUUCCACGUGUAGCAGUGAAAGUGCGUAGAGAUGUGGAGGAAUACCGAUGGCGAAGGCAGCCCCCUGGGCCAAUACUGACGCUCAUGCACGAAAGCGUGGGGAGCAAACAGGAUUAGAUACCCUGGUAGUCCACGCCCUAAACGAUGUCAACUAGUUGUUGGGGAUUCAUUUCCUUAGUAACGUAGCUAACGCGUGAAGUUGACCGCCUGGGGAGUACGGUCGCAAGAUUAAAACUCAAAUGAAUUGACGGGGUCAUAGCUGUUUCCU